UAGCUAACCGCAUACGGGGCUUGAGGCGCCAACUUCUUCCUGAAACACGUUGUUCAUUCUGGGGAGCGUUGGCCCACUCAGUGUCAGGUACGAUGAGAACAGAUCUGACAAUGCAGAAUAAGGAAUCAGUCAGUAAAAACAAGAACUUUUGCAAUGUCCUUAAAAGAGAGGAGAGAAUUAUCACCACAAAAUCAAAGAUGUUCCAUGCAACUGUGAAGAAAUAACAACGGAGGGCAAAGAUCUUGAUCAGGCAUU